AGGGUUAAAAGGGGGCGUGGCUUGAGAAAGGGGGCGUGGUCUGAUGUAGGGGGUGUGGCCUAUGAGGUGGGCGGGGCCUGUGGGGGGCGUGGCUUGGAGGGGGAGGCUGUGAUUGGCUGAUACACGGUGGGGGUGGGGUUUUAGCUGGUCCUUAAAGGGUUAAAAGGGGGCGUGGCUUCGCGUAGGGGGCGUGGCCUGGUGGGUGUGGCCUAAAGCAGGGGGCGUGGCCUGAGGUGGGCGUGGCUUGUGCAAAGGGGGCGUGGCCUUGGGUAUAGGGAAAGCCCCCAAUAGGUCCAGGGGGGCGUGGCCUCACAGAGGGGGCGUGGCUUCGCGGAAAGGGGCGUGGCUUGGAGAAGAGGGGGGCGUGGCCUCUCCCAGGGUGGUUUUUUUGGGGUAAAUUUUGGCCGUUUAGGUGCUGGAGAAGUCGCGCCCCAUGGAGCUGCGCCUGCGCUACCACCUGGACAAGCUGCUGCGGGCGGCCGCCGCCGGGGCACCGGGUGGGCCAAAAUCCCCCCAAUUCACCCCAAAAUCCCCCUCCCCUUGAACCCCCAAAAUCCCUUAGAUUUGCCCCAAAAAGUUGUUUUGGCGGUUGGUUGAUUGACAGCUGUCAAUCAUCCCCCAGGAGCCAACGACCCGCUGCGCUUCCGGCCCCAGCCCGGGAACAUGGGGGAUGAAGAGGAGGAGGAGGAGGAGGAUGAGGAGGGGCCAAGUGGGACGAAGGCCCCGGGGCUGGGCGGGGGGCGGCGCUAUGUGCCCCCCCGCCUGGUGCCCGUGCAGUACGGUAAGCUGAAUCCCAAAUAAUCCCAAAUAAUCCCAAGUAAUCCUCCUUAAUCCCGCAUAAUCCAUCCAAAAUCUACCAUUAUAUCCCCAAAUUCCCCUUAACUUCCCCAUUAUUCUUCCUUAAUCCCCAUAUUUUCCCCCUAAAUGCCCCAUAAUCCCCCCAAACUCCCCAUAAUCCCUCCGUUUUCCCUCAAAAUCCCACUUUAAUCCUUCAUAAUCCCUCUGAAAUCCCUCAGUUUCCCCCCAAAAUACCCCUAAUCCUCCCAUAAUCCCCCUAAUUCCCCCGUUUUUAUUCCCAAUCCCCCGAUACUGCCACCCCAAUCCCCACAAUCCCUCUUUAAUCCCCCUAAUCCGGCAAUAAUCCCCCAAAUCCCACCAUUAUUCCCCAUAAUCCCUCUAUAAUUCCUACAUUUUCCCCCAAAACCCCUCUUAAUUCCUCCAUAAUUCCACCUAAUGCCCCUUAAUCCCACCCCAACCCCCAUAAUCCCAUCUAAUCCCCCUUAAUCCCACCCUUAUUGCCCCUAAUCCCCCUUAAUGCCACCCUUUUUCCCCAUAAUUCCUCCAUCUCUUCAUUUUCCCCCAUAACCCUCCCCUAAUCCCUCCAUAACCCCUCCUCAUGCCCCAUAAUCCCACCCCAACCCCUCAUAAUCCCAAUCCCCCCAUAAUCCCCUCUAAUCCCCCUUAAUCCCACCCUAAUUCCCCUUAAUCCCACUUUUAUUCCC
rnacentral:lncRNA from 1 species